ensembl:lncRNA
GAUUGGUGGGUGAGCCGGAACCAGCGAAAAAGGAGUCUGGUGCCUUGUCGUGGCUGUGACGUUCCCUCUGGCCGUCUGCUGCAUCGGUGCCCCCAACGUCCAGGAACUAAUCCCCGGUCCUAUGUGGUUUUGACCCUAAUUCACUGCUGGGAGAGAAAACCCUGUGGAGAAGAACGUGCACCGGUGUUGUGAGACGACCGUCUUUUAUAUACAUGCCCGCUCGCGGCUUUGGACCCCUACUCCGCCGAGUGGCGACGUGCCAACAAUAGCAAGUAAGGAACAGUGUGCAUAUUGUGGGGGACGACGACUGAGAGAAGUGAGGGCUGCUAUAUGAACAUCCAGCUGUGUAGCCCUUGUGUAUGAAUACCUGUUUGGGGAGUACUUUCAGAGGUUCGCCCCUGUCUAGAUCUCUGGUCCGUUGUUUGGAAGAGAGGAGAGGGAAGCGUUCGAGUCAUUCCUGAGGUACAUACCCGGUGGCAUAAGCCUACCUGAAGUCACUCAGCGUGGUGGCACCAGCUGAGGCCGUGGAAGGCCCAACGUGCAGCGACUUCAAUCUGUACUUCUAUCCACUCUUGGUCAAAUUCGAGAGGUGGUGUGUCUUUCUCCAUAUAUUCACUGAAGCUAAGUAAAUUUGUGAAGGAACUCUGUCUGUCUGUUACUAGUCCUACAGGUCUGAGCUUGAGGCUCUGAGUCGUCGUGGGAGUGUUUCCACGGUUGGAGGUGACCGUGUUGAGUGUUGGUCUGGGAAGUCUGCCCUGGUGAAGAAGACCACAGUUGUCGUGACAUAUACAUCUUCUCUAGACUCCCGAGCUGAAAAGGGCUAAAGCCUGACGUCCACCUCUUCGAGGGUCUGUGAGUUGUAUCCAUUCAGUAUUGUCAUUGUAUAUCCACCUGCAUGCCCAGAGCAAAGCUCCAGUUGCCCCUGUAUGCCCAUCUGUACGCCUCAAGCUAAGAGCCAGCGUAUUGCCCUUGUAUACUUACCUGUAUGCCUAAAGUCAAGCUCCAGUUGCCCCUGUAUGCCCAUCUGUACGCCUCAAGCUAAGAGCCAGCGUAUUGCCCUUGUAUACUUACCUGUAUGCCUAAAGUCAAGCUCCAGUUGCCCCUGUAUACCCAUCUGUACGCCUCAAGCUAAGAGCCAGCGUAUUGCCCUUGUAUACUUACCUGUAUACCCCUCUGUACGCCUCAAGCUAAGAGCCAGUGUAUUGCCCUUGUAUACUUACCUGUAUGCCCAAAGUCAAGCUCCAGUUGCCCCUGUAUACUCACCUGUACGUCCAAAGUAAAGACCCAGUUGUCCUUCUGCAUACUUACCUGUACGCCCCGAGUGAAAUACCAGUGCAUCGCCCUUGCAUAUAUUCACCUGCAUACUUACCUGUGGACCUUUUAGGUGUUUCCAACCGUGGACCCAGAAUCUCGUGGCGAACGGCGUCAGGUACGCACCUCACCCAAUUCAUCAGAAUUACUUACCUUCUUUACUCUGCGUGCAGGGACUGGAAGGGCCCCACUGACGGUUCUCCUGCAGGAGAAACACAAAGGCACUACUGAGAAAAACCCUGUUGAGUCACGUGAAGGAAAGGACACAAAUUACCUACAGGUUUACCUGAGAGUCCCCGUGACAGAGUCAGAAGCGACUCGGACCUAUACUCUCUGGCCCCAAGAGUGGAUUUUAGAUUCCCUUCUCCCUUCCCUGCACACCUUUUAAAUAAUUUAAAUAAAGUCUGUUUUAAUUACACUCCCUCUCUCUCGUGUGUCUGGUCAUUGGGGUGUUCUUGGGACCUCCUCGAGGUGGAAACUAGGGAGGGGCGAGACUCACGACAUCUGUGGUCCGCUCCGAUCUGUGACAAAAUAUUAGGAAAUUCAAAUAAAUUAUAUUUUGACAUGCUAUGAUUGUUAUCAUUUUAACAGGUUUCAUGCAAAACCCUCCGGAGUGUUAUGGAUCCGCCCAUAAAUUUACGUCACUGUACGACCAUUACAGUUAACACCAGUUUUUCGCGGUUUUCACCAUUUCGAGCACCUAGAAGGUAUGUGAGACAAAAAAUAUUAUUAUAAGUAUUAUUAGUAUUAUUUUGUAUUUUGUGUUUCAAGUUAAUCAAUUGAUUUAGUUUUCAUGGAUGUUUGCAUGAAAGACAAAUAGACUGACAAUUAGCAUGUUCAAAUUGUGCGAUAGAAAUAUUAGAAAAUUGCAGGUUACUACUGUAUGUUUAUUUCUUUCAUUUUGCUAAUUGAUGUCAUAACCAAGGAAAAGUAAACCUGCAGUCUUUUUUUAUGUUUAUAUUUUAAUUUCAGAUGGCAUUUAUGGAGCAGCUUGAUUCAGUGGCACUGUCCACUUUACAAGGUACACUUUAACGUAGCUUCCAAAAUUAGCUAUGUAACAGUUAACGUUACAUUACUUUGGAUUUAGUUAAGUAUUUAUAAAAAGUCUUAGGCAUGUUUGGUCUUCACCAAAAAUGCUUUAUUGACAAGCUGACACCGGCUUGGCUUUGUCUAAGCUCCACUAUGUGCUCAGCGGCUACAUCAACAAACAUCCUGAUGCUGCUCUUAUUAUCGUGGGGGA